rnacentral:guide_RNA from 1 species
AACACUUCAAUGAAAAAGAAUCAACGAGAAAUCAGUUAAUAU